UNGGUAGCCAAACUCCAAAAAUUCUGCCCAA
rnacentral:piRNA from 1 species